rnacentral:misc_RNA from 1 species
GAUGAAGAACGUAGCGAAAUGCGAUAAGUAAUGUGAAUUGCAGAAUUCAGUGAAUCAUCGAAUCUUUGAACGCACAUUGCGCCCGCCAGUAUUCUGGCGGGCAUGCCUGUCCGAGCGUCAUUUCAACCAUCAAGCCCCCGGGCUUGUGUUGGGGACCUGCGGCUGCCCGCAGGCCCUGAAAACCAGUGGCGGGCUCGCUGUCACACCGAGCGUAGUAGCAAUCACCUCGCUCAGGGCGUGCUGCGGGUUCCGGCCGUUAAACAGCCUUACAAACCCAAGGUUGACCUCGGAUCAGGUAGGAAGACCCGCUGAACUUAAGCAUAUCAAUAAGCGGAGGA